AGUGCUGUGAACUUUACCCCACGGCACGGUAGUUGCUUUUGUACGUUCGGAUCGAUAGUCGCUUUUUGGCGCUGAAUUGGACGGACGCUAGAUUUAGCGAGAUUUCCAACAGGGGAUGGCACUUGAACACCAGUUACCAGAUCUGGGUUAUAUAUCUCUAGCUACUCCUAACGGUAAAUAGCUAGAGUUUGUGAUAGUUAUGCUCCUUCAAAAGCUUAGCUAAAUGCAAUUAAUUUUAUAACACAAAUUUUUUUGAUAAUUAACUUGCGGCAAAGUAACAAAUUCAGUCAAAAUUUAUGUUUUUUGUUUAAACAAACUGUCCCUUGAUGUUCGUUUCUGCAUACAAGUUUAAGGUUACAAAUUUAUAACAAUAAAAAAUAGAACAGUGACAAUAAAA